CUUUUCAGCUAGAGUAUGAUAGAGGAAAGCAGAAUUUCUAGUGUAGAGGUGAAAUUCGUAGAUAUUAGAAAGAAUACCAAUUGCGAAGGCAGCUUUCUGGAUCAUUACUGACACUGAGGAACGAAAGCAUGGGUAGCGAAGAGGAUUAGAUACCCUCGUAGUCCAUGCCGUAAACGAUGUGUGCUAGACGUUGGAAAUUUAUCUUCAGUGUCGCAGCGAAAGCGAUAAACACACCGCCUGGGGAGUACGACCGCAAGGUUAAAACUCAAAUGAAUUGACGGGGACCCGCACAAGUAGUGGAGCAUGUGGUUUAAUUCGAAGAUACGCGCAGAACCUUACCAACACUUGACAUGUUCGUCGCGACUCUAAGAGAUUAGAGUUUUCGGUUCGGCCGGACGAAACACAGGUGCUGCAUGGCUGUCGUCAGCUCGUGUCGUGAGAUGUUGGGUUAAGUCCCGCAACGAGCGCAACCCUCACUUUUAGUUGCCAUCAUUAAGUUGGGCACUCUGAAAGAACUGCCAGUGAUAAGCUGGAGGAAGGUGGGGAUGACGUCAAGUCCUCAUGGCCCUUACGUGUUGGGCUACACACGUGCUACAAUGGUAUCUACAACAGGAAGCAAGACUGCGAGGUCAAGCAAAUCCUUAAAAGAUACCUCAGUUCGGAUUGCGCUCUGCAACUCGAGUGCAUGAAGCUGGAAUUACUAGUAAUCGUGGAUCAGCGUGCCACGGUGAAUGCGUUCCCGGGUCUUGUACACACCGCCCGUCACACCAUGGGAGUUGGUUCUACCUUAAGGCAAGGUUUCAAACCCUUGACCACGGUAUAGUCAGCGACUGGGGUGAAGUCGUAACAAGGUAAC
rnacentral:rRNA from 1 species